AGUUUCUUGGUCUCUAAUUGCUGAAAAUUGGAGUAAAUGUGGUAUUUGAGUUGAAAUUGGAUUUUUAGUUGGAGUUUUUUAGUUUGUGGAUCCGAUUUCUUGUAGUUGGAUUAUUGCUUGAUUUUUGUUGGUUUUUCCAUCUUAUUUGGCGGAUUUGGAACCUCUCUUAUUGGAUUUACAGGUUGGUAACUGAAUUCUUGGUCGUAAUUGCAGUAAUUUGUGAGUUUAGUGUUGAGUCUGAAAUUCAUGUUUUGGG
rnacentral:lncRNA from 1 species